rnacentral:rRNA from 1 species
UACGAAGGGGGCUAGCGUUGCUCGGAAUGACUGGGCGUAAAGGGCGCGUAGGCGGAUGGCACAGUCAGAUGUGAAAUUCCCGGGCUUAACCUGGGGCUGCAUUUGAUACGUGUGAUCUAGAGUGAGGAAGAGGGUCGUGGAAUUCCCAGUGUAGAGGUGAAAUUCGUAGAUAUUGGGAAGAACACCGGUGGCGAAGGCGGCCAACUGGACGAAUACUGACGCUGAGACUCGAAAGCGUGGGGAGCAAACAGG